rnacentral:rRNA from 1 species
GAUGAACGCUAGCGGCAGGCCUAAUACAUGCAAGUCGAACGGUGUAGCAAUACACAGUGGCGCACGGGUGCGUAACACGUAUGCAACCUACCUAUCAUUGGGGGAUAGCCUUUGGAAACGGAGAUUAAUACCGCAUAAGACAGUAACAUGGCAUCAUGUAGCUGUUAAAGCUUCGGCGAUGAUAGAUGGGCAUGCGUCCAAUUAGUUAGUUGGUGAGGUAAUGGCUCACCAAGACGAUGAUUGGUAGGGGAUCUGAGAGGAUAAUCCCCCACACUGGCACUGAGAUACGGGCCAGACUCCUACGGGCGGGAGCAGUAGGGAAUAUUGGGCAAUGGACGGAAGUCUGACCCCGCCAUGCCGCGUGCAGGAUGAAGGCGUUAUGCGUUGUAAACUGCCUUUUUAUAGGAAGAAGGAGACCUUGCGAGGUUUGGUGACGGUACUAUAAGAAUAAGCACCGGCUAACUCCGUGCCAGCCGCCGCCGUAAUAC